AUUAAAGUUGUUGCAGUUAAAAAGCUCGUAGUUGGACUUGUGUGCGCUGUCCGCGGGUGGCCUGCGCCCAAAAGGGCGUUUCGGUUCGGCCCCGGUGGCGCCUUGAAAUCUGCAGCUGGGGGGACGUUGGCCUUAACUGGUCGGCGACCGCACGCCGGCUGCUCGGUUACUGUGAGAAAAUUAGAGUGUUCAAGGCAGGCAUUGGGUGCAAUUGAAUACAUUAGCAUGGAAUAAUAAAAUAUGGCUCCUGCCGUAUUUUGUUGGUUUUGACUGGUGGGAGUAAUGAUUGAUAGGGACGGUUGGGGGUGCUAGUAUUGAGCGGCCAGAGGUGAAAUUCAUGGAUUCGCUCAAGACUAACUUAUGCGAAAGCAUUCACCAAGGACGUCCUCUUUAAUCAAGAACGAAAGUUGGGGGAUCGAAGACGAUCAGAUACCGUCGUAGUCUCAACCAUAAACUAUGUCGACUUGGGAUCGGCGGUAGUUUUUUCAUUAAGACACUGUCGGGACCACGGGAGAAAUCAAAGUGUCUGGACUCUGGGGGAAGUAUGGUCGCAAGGCUGAAACUUGAAGGAAUUGACGGAAGGGCACCACCAGGAGUGGAGCCUGCGGCUUAAUUUGACCCAACACGGGGAAACUUACCAGGUCCAGAGAUGUAGAGGAUUGACAGAUUGAAGCUCUUUCUUGAUCACUUCGGUGGUGGUGCAUGGCCGUUCUUAGUUGGUGGAGUGAUUUGUCUGGUUAAUUCCGUUAACGAACGAGACCUCAGCCUGCUAGUGUAGUCGGCUGGAUUGCCUUUGGCGAUCCGUGAUUUCGACUUCUUAGAGGGACAAUCGACGCGCAGUCGAUGGAAGUUUGAGGCAAUAACAGGUCUGUGAUGCCCUUAGAUGUUCAGGGCCGCACGCGCGCUACACUGCUGGGCUCAGCGAGUUUUACUUGGCCGAGAGGCCCGGUUAAUCUUGUGAAAUCCCAGCGUGCUUGGGCUCGCCUCCUGCAACUGGAGGCGCCAACGAGGAAUUCCUAGUAGACGCAGGUCAUCAACCUGCAUCGAUUACGUCCCUGCCCUUUGUACACACCGCCCGUCGUUCCAUAAGAGUGAGGCAUCCGGUGAAUUCUCGGGAGAGCCUGGGCGUGGCCAGCAAUGGUCUGCUCGGGUUUGAACUUGCAUAAACUUGGUGCCUAUGAUUAGGG
rnacentral:rRNA from 1 species